ensembl:lncRNA
AUUGUGCUGUGUCUGUCGACAGGACCAGAGGUGAAGAGGCGAAUGGACAAAGGGAAUCAAUGGAAAAGCAAUAGCAGAAAAACAAGAUAUGAAAAUGACAUCCACAGUUGGUCAUGUAUCAGUGUGACAUUCAGCAUUAUGCCUGAAACUGAUGUGUUGCAGAGAGAGAAGAGAGAGAGAAGGAGAGAGAGAGAGAGAAGAGAGAGAGUUAGAUAGGUAUUUUAAAGUGGACUCCUCUCUUGAGUUCUGAUGACUGAGACAUUGGGUCUAGUUCAAAACAGUACUCUAUUUCAUUGACCUGCUGUCUUCUUAAGGGAGCACAGAGAUAUAAAGACCUGGUCUGAAUACUUACAAGCCAACAUGUCCACUCGUCUUUAUUAAAGGAACUUUGGGCAGCUAUCCAGACAAUCUUGAAAUUGAAAAGAUUAUGAGAGAUUAAUGUAACCUUUUGGCAAAUGCAAGGAUGAGAGGCAUUUUUAAAUGUGUUGCUAAGAGUUCGUGUUUCUUUUGGGCAAAAGUUGAUACUGCAAACAGCAGACACAAGUCAUGUAUCUUAUUUCACAAUAUUUUUCAAGAUAUUUUGUGUUAACCAUUUUUUUUAGGUUAAAAUAAAUUAUUUGCCAAUGACGUAAGAUAAUUUAGCUAGGUAAAAAAAAAUAUAUAAUCUAAAGGGAAUUAUCACGUUUCGGUUUUUGCAGUAUACCCUGAAAAAUCUUUUCUCAGAACUUAAAUAAAGAGUAUCGAACCACUGGACUACUCACGACUGACUCACUGAUCAUCUAAGCCAAUCCAAUCAGUCCACCACUUCCCACCCAAAAACAGACCAUCGGUCAGUGGUCACCGAAACAAGAACAAAGUACACAUGUAACCAAGAAAAAGCGCUGUGAGAAGUCCUCUAAUUCAAAUAAAGUGACUUGAUUCCACCAAACAGAUUGACAAUACUGAGAACAAACACUAAGGUAAAACGCUCCCUAAAAUGCUCUUUCACUUACUUUGAAUUGUGUAUUGACCAGCUGUUUUUAUACUGGAGGCCAGCUGUUAUGAGUGAUACCAUUGAUUACAGAAAUAUAUAUACAUAUCAGUGAUAUAUCAUUUGAAUCUAUGAUUAGUUUUGUUUGGGGUGAUGAAAAAUGUAAUGUUCUGUUUAUUGAAUAACUUAAUUAUAUGUAAUAUCAAUUUUAUAAGUGAGAUGUGUAUUUUAGCCAAGUCUUCCGUCUCAUUCUGUUUCUACUAUGACAGAUGCCAGGGAAACUGAAGCUAGUUGCUCUCGUCUUGCUCAUUCAAGCAUGUGUGUCCAUAGUGGCCCAGAUGCCAGCCCCAGAGGACUCUGUCUCUGAGGGGUUCUGCAGAGGGCAACAGAGACAUACAGGUACAAACAGACACACAGUCCCCGUGGCCGUCCAUGCCGUUUUAAGGAUAAGGGUAAAAGGCGUGCGCUCAGUAGAUGCUGCUUCCAACUGAUUUAUUCUUGUGUGUGUGUCUUACAGGGCAGCCAAAGUUAAAGCCCAGAGAAUAAGAGAGGCGGUGCAGGCCUUUGCUGGUGCGUACUACGAGGACCACAUCAAACCAGUGGCUGAUCCCUACAUGGACUGGGCCUCAGCCUCCACCAGUUCCUUCUGGGACAGAGUCAAGGAGAAGAUCGACCAGUACAGACCCAUCUAAUGGCACCUGAAUCUAAGGCAGACAAACACCCACCCAGCUCACUGCCAGCACAUGUAUUCAUGCAAGGUGAUUCUAGGGCUGAUUCUAUGUUCAUAUACACUAGGGAUUACAACUAGAAGAGCGCGUGAACAAUGCUGUAUGAUUUGACAAGUGAAUGAGGACACCCAUUUACUGGUGUUUCACUAACCUCAGCACAAGGGUUGUGAUAGUAUUAAAACUGCCAUAGAGUGUAUUAGUAUCAUACCGUUUUGGCUCACAUAUUGCAUCUGAGUAAGUCAAUUAACUAUUGUGAACCCCCAAAAUGAAUUCAAACUAAAUAAAAUUUUAAAAAAACAUUUAGUUGUACCAUUAUAGUGUUGUGCCUUUUCAUUAAAUUUCCCUUGACACAGUCUACACUCCUCACAUUCAUCAAUCUCUGAACUGAAUGAAGUAGAAAGCUGAGAGAGACUGAGAAUAGAUUUUAGAAAGGCAGAGAGAAAGCAACAGGGAAUGACAAAGAGGGAGAGAAAGAAUGAGACAAAGAAAGAGACAGACGGACAGACAGACAGAGACAUCAGUGAUGGGAGGGACAUCUACAGACUGUGCUGAAAUCGGAGUGUUAUCUCGGUGAGAGUUGUCAGUUGAGAUACAAGGUUCAGCAGGGGUGUCUGACUGGACGGGAGAUGUGUGUGACCUGCAGGACAUUUCUCUCAGCUCUCUCUGUGUGGACGGACAGACGGACAGACGGACAGACGGACAGACGGACAGACGGACAGACGGACAGACGGACGGACGGACGGACGGACAGACGGACAGACGGACAGAC